GCAAGGGGAGAGCAGCAGGGUUUAGAAUUCCAGGAAGGAAGAGAGAGUGAUGUCAUCAGAUUCCAUGGACCAGCCCAGGAACCCCUGCGAGAACGAGCCACUGACCCCGGGUUAUCAUGGAUUCCCAGCAAGGGACGGCCAGGGUAACCAGGAGCCAACAACAACUCCUGACGCAAUGGUUCAGCCUUUUACUACCAUCCCAUUCCCACCACCUCCACAGAACGGAAUUCCCACAGAAUAUGGAGUGCCACACACUCAGGACUAUGCCGGCCAGACCAGUGAACAUAACCUGACACUCUACGGGAGUUCACAGCCCCAUGGAGAACAGAGUAGCAAUUCACCCAGCAACCAGAAUGGAUCUCUCACGCAGACAGAAGGUGGAGCACAGACAGACGGACAACAGUCACAGACACAAAGUAGUGAAAAUUCAGAGAGUAAAUCCACGCCCAAGCGACUACAUGUCUCUAAUAUUCCCUUCCGCUUCCGGGACCCUGACCUCCGGCAGAUGUUUGGGGUAAGUCUCUGUUAUCAUUUUAUGUAUUUAAUUAAAACAACUUAAUCAACCAGAGA
rnacentral:lncRNA from 1 species